GAUGAACGCUAGCGGCAGGCCUAAUACAUGCAAGUCGAACGAGAUUAAGAGGCUUGCUUCUUAUGAAAGUGGCGCACGGGUGCGUAACGCGUAUGCAACCUACCUUAAUCAGGGGGAUAGCCCGAAGAAAUUCGGAUUAAGACCGCAUAAAAACACAGGAUAGCAUUAUCCAAUGUUCAAAUAUUUAUAGGAUUAAGAUGGGCAUGCGUGUCAUUAGCUAGUUGGCGGGGUAACGGCCCACCAAGGCGACGAUGACUAGGGGAUCUGAGAGGAUGACCCCCCAUACUGGUACUGAGACACGGACCAGACUCCUACGGGAGGCAGCAGUAAGGAAUAUUGGUCAAUGGAGGGAACUCUGAACCAGCCAUGCCGCGUGCAGGAAGACAGCCCUCUGGGUCGUAAACUGCUUUUAUUCGGGAAUAAACCUUUCUACGUGUAGGAAGCUGAAUGUACCGAAGGAAUAAGGAUCGGCUAACUCCGUG
rnacentral:rRNA from 1 species